rnacentral:rRNA from 1 species
AGUGAACGCUGGCGGCAGGCCUAACACAUGCAAGUCGAACGGCAGCACAAGAGAGCUUGCUCUCUGGGUGGCGAGUGGCGGACGGGUGAGGAAUGCAUCGGAAUCUGCCCAUUUGUGGGGGAUAACCUCGGGAAACCGGGACUAAUACCGCAUACGACCUACGGGUGAAAGCAGGGGAUCUUCGGACCUUGCGCAGAUGGAUGAGCCGAUGCCGGAUUAGCUAGUUGGAGGGGUAAAGGCCCACCAAGGCGACGAUCCGUAGCUGGUCUGAGAGGAUGAUCAGCCACACUGGGUCUGAGACACGGCCCAGACUCCUACGGGAGGCAGCAGUGGGGAAUAUUGGACAAUGGGCGCAAGCCUGAUCCAGCCAUGCCGCGUGUGUGAAGAAGGCCUUCGGGUUGUAAAGCACUUUUGUUGGGAAAGAAAAGCAGCCGGUUAAUACCCGGUUGUCAUGACGGUACCCAAAGAAUAAGCACCGGCUAACUUCGUG